UACGUAGGUGGCAAGCGUUUGUCCGGAAUUAUUGGGCGUAAAGCGCGCGCAGGCGGUCCUUUAAGUCUGAUGUGAAAGCCCACGGCUCAACCGUGGAGGGUCAUUGGAAACUGGGGGGACUUGAGUACAGAAGAGAAGAGUGGAAUUCCACGUGUAGCGGUGAAAUGCGUAGAGAUGUGGAGGAACACCAGUGGCGAAGGCGACUCUUUGGUCUGUAACUGACGCUGAGGAGCGAAAGCGUGGGGAGCGAACAGG
rnacentral:rRNA from 1 species